CGUUUGCAAUCGAAUCCGACUAAUGAAUACACCAGUAGUUUGUGGAGGUUACAUCACUACAUAAGAUUAUUAAUCAAUCAAUGUAGGUAGCUAAGUAGUAUGGAACUGCUGAAAGAUAGCCAUGUUACUCUGGUGAUUGUUUGCGCAUUCUGCAGCUUGAUCAAUGCACGUUUCCUACAGGCAGCACACUCUUUGGCUAACGUCGAGAGCUAGUUUACCUUGGUCAUUGGUCACACGGUAAGAAAUAUAUUUCACACAGGUUGACUCUUCCACGUGUGAGAUAUGCUUAUUGACCUCUUCAAUUGUUUCAAAUACAGCUUCGUCGCUCAUUUUUAUUUAUACUCUGCUACCAAUACAUAUAAACAUUCAAAUGUCGCAAGCUAAACUAAAGCGGUAAUGUUUGCGAUUAUUUAAUUGGUUCACGUGCGGAUCAAUAGACCCGCCUUCUUAAAAUGGUGGUUUCUCAUUGGUGUAUCGCGAGUUCCGUCACUAAAAUGGAAACAAACGAUUGGCUUCUAUUCGAAACCAAUCAACCCUUUUCUUACGCGUCAAUCACGUUGAGGACAACACGCUUAACGGUACCGAAUUUAAAAUAUUUUCGUAACAAUUUUCCUCAAUGUUUCAACAGAAUACAAUCCAAGUUACGAAUCGUAUAUUUUGGCAUACAAGUUAUACUUUGUCGAGAUCAUGGACUCAGUUAUAUCAAGGACAAGACUACUGCACGUACAACCGCUUGCAUCAGGGACCAGUCAAUGGUCCUCUUCACAGUCAAGACACAGCAGUGGUCCGAUUUUGUCAGUUGCUUUCAGGCAGUAUCUAAGAGACGUACCUCUACAUAAAUUCUCUACCACAACACACGUCUGCAGCGAUUCUAUUGGGAAACGCAUGACCACUUGGUUUACACAUGCAAGGUGUGCUCAACCAGGUCAACGAAGAGGAUAUCCAAGGUAGCCUAUCAUAAAGGUGUUGUCCUAGUGACCUGCCCAGGAUGUGAAAAACACCACAUUAUUGCUGACAACUUGGGUUGGUUCUCUGAUCUGAAGGGAAAGAGGAACAUUGAGGAAAUCCUUGCAGCGAAAGGGGAGAAAGUGAAGAGGGGAGAAGAAGAGGCGGCCUUCGAGAUUGUUAUAGAGGAGUCCGGCAAGGAUACAACACAGACUGCUCAAGAUGCAAAGAAACCUUCACCAGAGUCUGAUGACUCAGGGAAACCAUGACUAACUCUCUGUGGGUGUGUGUGCGCACAACAAGGACAUCGUUCUCUAUGAGGGGAAAAAUUGUAAUUACAAAGUAAAUGUAACACUUCUUUUGAUAUUUCUUUCUCCAUAUUGUUUUCAUAAGAUGUUGAUCAUUUCUUAUCACACUAUUUUAUACCAACUGAACACUACUGCCAGAAUAUUCCUUGGGUUUAGACCAAUCUUACUACUACUGAACUGAUCACACUCAAACAGAAGAGGCUGAUGCUUGCAAUUCAUUUUUAUUGUAAAGUUGUAUGAUAUGAAGCAGGAAGAAUUAACAUUCAAAGGCCCAUUUAGGGCCAUGGCAAACUGCCUAUCAUAGACCCUCUCCCUCUUCCUCCAUGGUGUCCUCCAGCAGCACAUGAAAGCAAUGCUGUCAAUCCACAUGGAAGCAGAACAUAGAGUGCUCCUGUAAAACAAUUAUCCCGUCAGGAAUUAAUCAAACAGAUAUUGAACGAAUGGGAUUCACAGUUAUACAUUAGUCUGAAAAUGUUCAAUCAUUAACCCCAGUUGUGGAGCCCCUAUCCUCUCAUCACAAGCCCAAGCACUUACCUCAUCUGCUCUUCUGUGUUUUCCUCUUCCUGCCUCCCUCCCUUUCAUCCUUUCCUAUUGAUGCUUCAGCAGAUAAAGAGACCUCAUAUGCCACAAUCUGUUUCAGGAAAAAAAAACAUCUGAAAGCCCACUCACUUGAGGUGAAUAAUCACAUGAGAUCAGGAAUUGUAGUGUUUGAGUUGAACAACAUUACCUAAACAUACUUCUGUCAACACUAAUACAGUUGUCUACAGAGAACAGGCUUUGAUAGUAAACACUUACCUAAUGUAGUCAUCCAGCUGUGCUCCUCCUCCAACCCUCCCAUCCUUUCCAAUUGAUGCUUCAACAGAUCUGUUUCUUUGGCUGCUCUUUUCAUCUAUCUGAGACUUGAACAGGCUUAGAAAGAGGACAAAAGGAAACCAAAACAACUUUAAAAGAGAAGUAGAAGAGGCAGACUUCCUUUCUUUUUGACGUCUGUUGGUUAUUUUUCCUGUGCUCUUGGUCUUCUCCUUAUCUGCUAAUCCUUAGUUAUUGAGAUAUUUAUUUUGGCCAUAUGUCCAUCAGAAUUCUAAUUCAAUCUCCUCUCUAUUACUCUUAGUGUUUUCACCUCUUUUCUCUGGGUCUCUGUUUAUCUUGCCUCCCUCCUUGUGUUUUCCAUAACUUUCUUUUGAUCCACUCCGCUCUUCUUUACUGCUAAUCUCAUUUACCUUUUAUCCCAUGGUCCUUCAUGAUUCUGUCCAUCAGAACUUGAAUUCUAUAUCUCCUACUUCCCUCCUGAUAAACCACUCUGGUCUCUCAUGUUUCCUCCUCUUCACCCUCAGGCCUGGCUUCCUUAUAAUUUGUUCCUCCUUUUGC